rnacentral:tRNA from 1 species
GUAUUCUUAGCUCAGUUGGUUAGAGCAGACGGCUCAUAACCGUCCGGUCGUAGGUUCGAAACCUACAGACA